rnacentral:lncRNA from 1 species
GUGAACCAGACGUCAAACAAGUGUACAAGGGACCAACUGAGCUACGAAAUGGUUUGUGAAAGAACCCAACCCGUUUUUCAUUUACCCUCAACCUAAAAACGCAUCUGCAGCCUUCUUCCCAACCCAACUCCACCCAAAACUCGAUCCCAGCCACCGACCACUCGGUUACGCGACGUUCGGUCAUCCCUAAGGUCCCCUUUAUGUUCGAAAUGAAUAGAGAAACCGAACCAACCAUUAAAACGUCUAUCCUCAUCCUUUAAUUUAUGAAUUUAAGGCCCUAAUUAAAACUCUUUUAUCUCCAUUAAAGAACACUAAGAGCACAUCUUGUGAUUUUAAUCAUUUCGCGAAAUUGGAUUCCCUAACCUAUAUCAUCUGUUUUUCUGAGCAAAUCAUACAAAACCCCACUGAAAUCUCUUCAUUUCAUCAACCACAUCUCGCGAAUUUAAUCGAAGAACAAUCUAGGGCUCGUAUCUUCCAUGGACGAUAUCUCCUUCAAUUCUCAACGUUUUCAGGUUUUCAAAGUUGGUGAUCAAGUGAUGUGGACACGUAGCAUGGGCCUUAGGAAAAUAAAUUGAAAUCUUGAUAUGUUUGUAUUGAACAAUGUAUGAACAAUUUUGAUUAUUAUAUGAUAUGUGACUAUUUA